GAUGAACGCUAGCGGCAGGCCUAACACAUGCAAGUCGAGGGGGAAGUUACUUUCGGGUGACUGAGACCGGCGUACGGGUGCGUAACGCGUAUACAAUAUGCCUUUCACUGGGGGAUAGCCCGAAGAAAUUUGGAUUAAUACCCCAUAGUAUAUAGGGACGGCAUCGUUUUUAUAUUAAGGCUUAGGUGGUGAAAGAUGAGUAUGCGUUCUAUUAGCUAGUUGGAGAGGUAACGGCUCCCCAAGGCGAUGAUAGAUAGGGGUUCUGAGAGGGAUGUCCCCCACACUGGUACGGAGAUACGGACCAGACUGCUACGGGAGGCAGCAGUGAGGACUAUUGGACAAUGGUCGGAAGACUGAUCCAGCCAUGCCGCGUGCAGGAUGAAGGUCUUAUGGAUUGUAAACUGCUUUUGUAAGGGAAGAAUAAGGGUUACGCGUAGUUUGAUGACGGUACCUUACGAAUAAGCAUCGGCUAACUCCGUG
rnacentral:rRNA from 1 species